CUUACAAUUGCGAUGGGGGGACGGAGAAGGCUAGGUGGGCCUGGCGACGGUUGUCCAGGUUCAAGUGCGUAGGCUGAAGAGUUAGGUAAAUCCGGCUCCUCGAUAGGCUGAGACACGACGUCGAGCUACUACGGUAGUGAAGUCAUUGAUGCCAUGCUUCCAGGAAAAGCCUCUAAGCUUCAGAUUGUAAGGAAUCGUACC
rnacentral:rRNA from 1 species